rnacentral:lncRNA from 1 species
UCAAUGAAACAGUUAAUAAAAACAUCUGUUUCUCCGUAUAAUACAUAUAUGUAUAAAAUAAGCCUUUUCAAAAAUUCUUAUUUUAGAAUCCUCUAUAAAUCAAGAAUAUCUGACUUCUGACAGUGUCGGGAACAAAUUAUAAUAAGUAGUAUAAAUUUAUGAAUAUUGGUAGUCCUAGUGGGAAGAAAUAAGACCAUACUCUACCAUCAGUUAGGGAUCCUCAAAAGGUAAAUGAAGAAGCCACUGACAGGCUUUAGUAUUCUAAAAACAAUAUUGUCAUUUAAAGGUUUGUAGACAAUAAAAAAAUAAAGAAAGUUGAUCCAGAAUUUUAAGAUUCUAAGAAAACUAAAGCUGUUGACAGAUGAGAAAGCUGUUAAGAGAUGCAAAGUUAAAACUGAAAUCCUACGGUACAGUUAUAUACAGCAGUACAUCUUAACAUCCUUC